rnacentral:piRNA from 1 species
UCUAAGGACAGCUGUGACGCAACCC